UACGUAGGGUGCAAGCGUUGUCCGGAUUUAUUGGGUUUAAAGGGUGCGUAGGUGGCCUUAUAAGUCAGUGGUGAAAGCCUGCAGCUUAACUGUAGGACUGCCAUUGAUACUGUAGGGCUUGAGUACUGAUGAGGUAGGCGGAAUUGAUAGUGUAGCGGUGAAAUGCAUAGAUAUUAUCAAGAACACCGAUUGCGAAGGCAGCUUACUAAGGAGUUACUGACACUGAGGCACGAAAGCGUGGGGAUCAAACAGG
rnacentral:rRNA from 1 species